rnacentral:rRNA from 1 species
GACAGAGGGUGCAAACGUUAUUCGGAAUUACUGGGCGUAAAGCGUGUGUAGGCGGCUUUGCAAGUCGGAUGUGAAAGCCCCGGGCUCAACCCGGGAAGUGCACUCGAUACUGCAGGGCUUGAGUGUCGGAGAGGUUGGUGGAAUUCUCGGUGUAGAGGUGAAAUUCGUAGAUAUCGAGAGGAACACCGGCGGCGAAGGCGGCCAACUGGACGAACACUGACGCUGAGACACGAAAGCGUGGGGAGCAAACAGG